rnacentral:lncRNA from 1 species
UCCAACAAGUGAUAUCAGAGUACGCGGUUGUCCGUGUUGUGAUAGUAUUGAUCGAGAUUGAAGCAGAUGAAAAAGACAGGCUCAAUUAAGGUAGAGAUCUAUCGGUAUGAUGGAAAGAGUAAUUUCUCUCUAUAGCAAAUAAAGGAGAAAGAUGUGCUCAUUCAACAAAAGUUAAUUGAUGCUCUCAUAUGCGAGGAGAAGCUGACUACUAUGGAGGAGA